rnacentral:rRNA from 2 species
AACUUUCAACAACGGAUCUCUUGGCUCUCGCAUCGAUGAAGAACGCAGCGAAAUGCGAUAAGUAAUGUGAAUUGCAGAAUUCAGUGAAUCAUCGAAUCUUUGAACGCACCUUGCGCCCUUUGGUAUUCCGAAGGGCACACCUGUUUGAGUGUC